CCAGAGGAUCGGGCGGCCGCGGGUGUGCAAGCACGCGAGGAAAGUCCGGGCUCCGCGGAACGACGGUGGCGGGUAACGCCCGCCGGGGGCGACCCCAGGGAAAGUGCCACAGAGAGCAGACUGCCCGCUUCGGCGGGUGAGGGUGAAAGGGUGCGGUAAGAGCGCACCGCGCGGCUGGUAACAGCGGCGGCACGGCAAACCCCACCGGGAGCAAGACCGAAUAGGGGCGGCAUAUGGGUGUGUUCCCACCCGUCGCCCGGGUUGGUUGCUGGAGGCGGCGCGCAAGCGUCGUCCUAGAGGAAUGGUCGCCCAUCCGCUUCGGCGGUGGACAGAACCCGGCUUACAGAUCCUCUGGCGCU
rnacentral:RNase_P_RNA from 1 species